UUGUAUUCUUGUUAGAAGAUAUGUAGACAAAGACUCAUACGGAAUUUGGCUAAACCAUCAAAGCUUUUAGAAGCAAGAAGAAGGUUGGUUAGUGUUUUGGAGUGAAAUAUGACUAGAUGUCAUGUGUAUGAGUGAGUAUAUCAACUAGAACCACAAUUGGAAUUUUAAAAGCCUAAGUAUUGUAUCCUUGUUAGAAGAUACAAAGACAAACACUCAUACGGACUUUGGCUACACCAUCAAAGCUUUGAGAAGCAAGAAGAAGCUUGGUUAGUGUUUUGGAGUUAAAUCUAACUAGAUGUCAUGUGUAUGAGUGAGUAUACCAACUAGAACCACAAUUGGAAUUUUAAAAGCCUAAGUAUUAUAUCCUUGUUAGAAGAUACAAAGACAAACACUCAAACGGACUUUGGUUACACCAUCAAAGCUUUGAGAAGCAAGAAGAAGCUUGGUUAGUGUUUUGGAGUCGAAUAUGACUUGAUGUGAUGUGUAUGAUUGAGUAUAAGAAAUUAAACCACAACCGGAUCUUAAAAGCCUAAGUAUUGUUUCCUUGUUAGAAGAAACAAAGGCAAAGCCUCAUACAAACUUUAGCUUUACCAUCAAAGCCUUGAGAAGAAAGAAGAAGCUUGGUUAGUGUUUUGGAGUCAAAUAUUACUAGAUGUCAUGUGUAUGAGUGAGUAUGACAACUAGAACCAUAACCGGAUCUUAAAAACCUAAGUAUUGAAUCUUUGUUAGAAGAUACAAAGACAAAGACUCAUACGGACUUCGACUACACUAUCAAAGCUUUGAGAAGCAAGAAGAAGCUUGGUUAGUGUUUUGGAUUCGAAUAUGACUUGAUGUCAUGUGC
rnacentral:sRNA from 1 species